rnacentral:rRNA from 1 species
CCUACGGGGGGCAGCAGUGAGGAAUAUUGGUCAAUGGGCGAGAGCCUGAACCAGCCAAGUCGCGUGAGGGAGUACUGCCCUAUGGGUUGUAAACCUCUUUUGUCGGGGAGCAAAAGCCGGACGUGUCCGGCUGUGAGAGUACCCGAAGAAAAAGCAUCGGCUAACUCCGGGCCAGCAGCCGCGGUAAUACGUAGGUGGCGAGCGUUAUCCGGAAUGAUUGGGCGUAAAGGGUGCGUAGGCGGCCUGCUAAGUCUGGAGUGAAAGGUACCGGCUCAACCGGUACAGGCUCUGGAAACUGGCGGGCUAGAGAGCAGGAGAGGGCGGUGGAACUCCAUGUGUAGCGGUAAAAUGCGUAGAUAUAUGGAAGAACACCAGUGGCGAAGGCGGAUUACUGGACGAUAACUGACGGUGAGGCGCGAAAGCGUGGGGAGCAAACAGGAUUAGAUACCCCAGUAGUC